CUUCUCUAAAACCUUCUACAACUUCCUAGUGUAUGUCCUUGAUAUCACCUCCUCCCCUUUUAGCUUUGAGGUCUUCGAGAAGCACUCCUAUUACGAGUCGGUACCAACGUAAGAAGUUGAAAAUUUUUUGCAUAGUAUCUACAAUAUACUCCAAUUGUUGUUUGCACAGCAAGUAGUUCAUUGGUCCUUGUAAUCAAUGACAAAGUCCUACGCCUUUGAUUUCCGACCAAGCAUGAACUUCUAUGUCUUUAUUAUAAAAAUGCCCUACAAACACUCCUUUGAGAAGAUCACCAUAGGCAAGUUCUACC
rnacentral:lncRNA from 1 species